GACGAACGCUGGCGGCGUGCUUAACACAUGCAAGUCGAACGGAGUGGCGAACGGGUGAGUAACACGUGGGUGAUCUGCCUUGCACUUCGGGAUAAGCUUGGGAAACUGGGUUUAUUCCCGGAUAGUGCAAGAUGAGCUCGCGGCUGAUCAGCUUGUUGGUGGGGUAAGGGCCUACCAAGGCGUCGACGGGUAGCCGGCCUGAGAGGGUGGACGGCCACAUUGGGACUGAGAUACGGCCCAGACGCCUACGGGAGGCAGCAGUGGGGAAUAUUGCACAAUGGGCGGAAGCCUGAUGCAGCGACGCCGCGUGGGGGAUGAAGGCCUUCGGGUUGUAAACUCCUUUCGACAGGGACGCGGUACCUGUAUAAGAAGCACCGGCUAACUACGUGCCAGCAGCCGCGGUAAUAC
rnacentral:rRNA from 1 species